AUUACCGAGUGCGGGCCCCUCGGGGCCCAACCUCCCACCCGUGUUGCCCGAACCUAUGUUGCCUCGGCGGGCCCCGCGCCCGCCGACGGCCCCCCUGAACGCUGUCUGAAGUUGCAGUCUGAGACCUAUAACGAAAUUAGUUAAAACUUUCAACAACGGAUCUCUUGGUUCCGGCAUCGAUGAAGAACGCAGCGAAAUGCGAUAACUAAUGUGAAUUGCAGAAUUCAGUGAAUCAUCGAGUCUUUGAACGCACAUUGCGCCCUCUGGUAUUCCGGAGGGCAUGCCUGUCCGAGCGUCAUUGCUGCCCUCAAGCCCGGCUUGUGUGUUGGGCCCCGUCCCCCCCGCCGGGGGGACGGGCCCGAAAGGCAGCGGCGGCACCGCGUCCGGUCCUCGAGCGUAUGGGGCUUCGUCACCCGCUCUAGUAGGCCCGGCCGGCGCCAGCCGACCCCCAACCUUUAAUUAUCUCAGGUUGACCUCGGAUCAGGUAGGGAUACCCGCUGAACUUAAGCAUAUCAAUAAGCGGAGGAAAAGAAACCAACCGGGAUUGCCCUAGUAACGGCGAGUGAAGCGGCAAGAGCUCAAAUUUGAAAGCUGGCC
rnacentral:rRNA from 1 species